UACGAAGGGGGCUAGCGUUGCUCGGAAUCACUGGGCGUAAAGGGUGCGUAGGCGGGGCUUUAAGUCAGGGGUGAAAUCCUGGAGCUCAACUCCAGAACUGCCUUUGAUACUGAGGAUCUUGGGUUCGGGAGAGGUGAGUGGAACUGCGAGUGUAGAGGUGAAAUUCGUAGAUAUUCGCAAGAACACCAGUGGCGAAGGCGGCUCACUGGCCCGGUACUGACGCUGAGGUGCGAAAGCGUGGGGAGCAAACAGG
rnacentral:rRNA from 1 species